rnacentral:rRNA from 1 species
AUUGAACGCUGGCGGCAUGCCUUACACAUGCAAGUCGAACGGCAGCACGGGGGCAACCCUGGUGGCGAGUGGCGAACGGGUGAGUAACAUAUCGGAACAUACCCUAGAGUGGGGGAUAACGUAGCGAAAGUUACGCUAAUACCGCAUACGAUCUAAGGAUGAAAGUGGGGGAUCUUCGGACCUCAUGCUCAUGGAGUGGCCGAUAUCUGAUUAGCUAGUUGGUGAGGUAAAGGCUCACCAAGGCGACGAUCAGUAGCUGGUUUGAGAGAACGACCAGCCACACUGGAACUGAGACACGGUCCAGACUCCUACGGGAGGCAGCAGUGGGGAAUUUUGGACAAUGGGGGGCAACCCUGAUCCAGCAAUGCCGCGUGAGUGAAGAAGGCC